UUUGCUCUGCUCCUGCCACAUGC
rnacentral:miRNA from 1 species